rnacentral:rRNA from 1 species
GACGAACGCUGGCGGCGUGCUUAACACAUGCAAGUCGAACGAAGAGCGAUGGAAGCUUGCUUCUGUCAAUCUUAGUGGCGAACGGGUGAGUAACGCGUAAUCAACCUGCCCUUCAGAGGGGGACAACAGUUGGAAACGACUGCUAAUACCGCAUACGAUCUAAACUCGGCAUCGAGGAUAGAUGAAAGGUGGCCUCUACAUGUAAGCUAUCACUGAAGGAGGGGAUUGCGUCUGAUUAGCUAGUUGGAGGGGUAACGGCCCACCAAGGCGAUGAUCAGUAGCCGGUCUGAGAGGAUGAACGGCCACAUUGGGACUGAGACACGGCCCAGACUCCUACGGGAGGCAGCAGUGGGGAAUCUUCCGCAAUGGACGAAAGUCUGACGGAGCAACGCCGCGUGAGUGAUGACGGCCUUCGGGUUGUAAAGCUCUGUUAAUCGGGACGAAAGGCCUUCUUGCGAAUAGUGAGAAGGAUUGACGGUACCGGAAUAGAAAGCCACGGCUAACUACGUG